AACGAACGCUGGCGGCAUGCCUAACACAUGCAAGUCGAACGAGACCUUCGGGUCUAGUGGCGCACGGGUGCGUAACGCGUGGGAACCUGCCCUUAGGUUCGGAAUAACUCCCCGAAAGGGGUGCUAAUACCGGAUAAUGUCUUCGGCCCAAAGAUUUAUCGCCUUUGGAUGGGCCCGCGUUGGAUUAGCUAGUUGGUAGGGUAAAAGCCUACCAAGGCGACGAUCCAUAGCUGGUCUGAGAGGAUGAUCAGCCACACUGGGACUGAGACACGGCCCAGACUCCUACGGGAGGCAGCAGUGGGGAAUAUUGGACAGUGGGCGAAAGCCUGAUCCAGCAAUGCCGCGUGAGUGAUGAAGGCCUUAGGGUUGUAAAGCUCUUUUACCCGGGAUGAUAAUGACAGUACCGGGAGAAUAAGCACCGGCUAACUCCGUG
rnacentral:rRNA from 1 species